AGAUAAGGAGCUUGCUCCUUUGACGUUAGCGGCGGACGGGUGAGUAACACGUGGGUAACCUACCUAUAAGACUGGGAUAACUUCGGGAAACCGGAGCUAAUACCGGAUAACAUUUGGAACCGCAUGGUUCUAAAGUGAAAGAUGGUUUUGCUAUCACUUAUAGAUGGACCCGCGCCGUAUUAGCUAGUUGGUAAGGUAACGGCUUACCAAGGCGACGAUACGUAGCCGACCUGAGAGGGUGAUCGGCCACACUGGAACUGAGACACGGUCCAGACUCCUACGGGAGGCAGCAGUAGGGAAUCUUCCGCAAUGGGCGAAAGCCUGACGGAGCAACGCCGCGUGAGUGAUGAAGGGUUUCGGCUCGUAAAACUCUGU
rnacentral:rRNA from 1 species